rnacentral:lncRNA from 1 species
UUUACUUAUUUUAUUAGUUGGUUAAAGUAUUUAUGUGUCUUUAGUUUUUCUUAAUAUAAUUGUUGUUAUAUAUAUUAAUAUAUUUUUGCUUAAUUAAAAUAAUGGGUUAAAAACAGGAGGGUAUGGGGAGGGAGCACUUGGCUAACAAGGCAACUUCCCAAGCACGUUGCAAACGCAAGGGUAAGACGACUACUGGGGUGCCCCCUCAGAAAAAAGCAAAGGGAAACAACAUCAGUUCUAUUGUAACCACUAAGCAAGGGCACGGUUCCCGACCAAAACACAAAAGCCAUGCAUAUCACCCAUUGUUCUGUGUGAGAAGAUACAUACACAAGAACCACAGCGAAUUCGAUCCGGUGGUACAUGUCAAAAUUACUGACCAUUUAUCUUACAGGGUAGAUAUUGGUAAUAAUUGUCAGCUCAUUUAAUUAAUUUUUUGUUUUUAUGUUUUGUUUUGUAAGCAUCAUUUUGUUUUUAAAGUUCAAUUAGUCCAACUGUGUGCUAAGUAAAUCCUUGGCAAUUUGAUUGAUUGUUGGUAUUAUGUUUAGUUUUUCUCAACUUGUUUUGUGCAUUCCACUUAAGCAAUUAGAUUUCACAUAUUCAAUUACCCGCUUUCUGUCUGCCAAUUGGAUAUUUGUAAAUCCAAUUGCAUUUCAAGUUUGUUGAGUAUGCAUAAUUUUGUUUUUAUAUUCCAUUAAUUCAAGUGCAUGCUACGUAAGUAAAUCCUUGACAAUUUAAUUGAGUGUUGGGAGUAUGUUUAAUUUUUCUCAACUUGUUUUUGUGCAUUCCACUUAUGCAAUUAGAUGUGACAUAUUUAAUUACCGCCUUUCUGUUUGCCAAUUAGAUUUUUUGUAAAUCCAAUUGUGUUUCAAGUUUUCAGAAUAUGUUGCAUGGAAAGUGUUCUUAUGACUAAUUCAAUUUUUGACACUUGCAGAAUUCGGGUAACCACUUUAAGGGAUGCGGAAAUGACAAAUUCUGUGGUUUAUGGUUUCAAAGCCAUUUGCCUGGUCCAGUAAAGGAUAAAGUCAAAGCAACAAAGUUUUCAUUAGUUUGCAAAAUUACUUGCAAGAAAGGGAUGGAGAGAUAGACACCUCAUUACGGCAUUGGCGGGGCGUUGGUGGGACAGUACCUGUACAUUCUAUUUGGAUGAGGUCGGGGAGCUUAUAAUGACCCCAAAGGACUUUAGUGCAAUCUCGAGUUUACCUGUUUGUGGGAAACCUUUAAAUUAUGACAUGGAGGCCUACAAAAACACUAUAGAGAUAGUGAGGCUAUUCGGGAACCCCAUUGCAAGCAUAAUUAAGGACAAAAACAUUGUGGAUAAGUACAAGGAAUGGAAGCUGCAAACCACUAUACAAGAAAACCUGUUAACUCGUGUCUUCAUUCUCACAUUGGUCGACAACACUAUAUGCAAUGAUAAGAGCAACUCUGUUUAUCUAUACUAAAUGCCCAGCAUGGCUAAAGUGGAUGAGAUUAAAGAGUACAAUUGGGGUGGGGCUGGGUUGUCAUGCUUGUAUCUGUCGAUGGAUGCUAUUUCUAGAAGGAUAGUGUCAAGCUCACGAGGGUAUUUUCAGGCUUGGGAGGUGAAUAAUUUUAUGUUGACAAACUAAAAGAUUCUUAUAAUUCCUUGCGUUUGGGUAUUUUGGUCUUCAUAACUAAUAGUGGUUUGUUUUUUGUUUAUAGGUAUGGGCGUGAAGUACUCGAAGCCACUUGCUUUAAGUCAACCAUUUACCGAUGAAAGUAGUUAAUGGUUUCGCGCGUUAUGGUGGUUGGGUGGCUUGGAUGUGCGGGAAACACCCCACAACUUGGAGCAGUUUAGAAUAACUAUGAGAUAUAUCACUACUGAUCAAGUCAAUUGGCAUCCAUGGGGAACUGAUGAUACAACCCUACAACAUUAUGUGCAAAGCAGCAUUCUAGCUACAAAACAAAGAAUUCUACUCGAAGGACUUGUCGGGUAUGCCUGGUAUUAAGGGGAAAGAGUAUCCGUGCAAAGCCUAGCUACACCAGAUCAGAGGAUCCUAAAAAUACCCCGUUGAACUAUACUCUAAGAUGUGAAAGUAUAUGCCGUGGACAAUGAAACCAAAGCAUCACUUAAGGGAUUUAAAGCAGAG